CCUCCCUGUACCCAGGUUCCUUGGGCACUAGAUGUCUUGGAGGCACCUUGCCUCCCCAGAGUAGAGAAAAUGGAGGCAGAGGCCAGAGGCAGCAGACUUGUACCCAGACAUCUGACAGAAAUGAGGAUGCUGCUCUGGGCCCUAGAAAGACCUGCUGGGCUUGUGCACAAACCAGAGGGUGCCUCUGUUCACCCUCCUCCCCUUCAAGGCUGCCCCACAUAUUCACUUGAACCGUUGACAAUUCAUUUGAGAACAUUGAGGGUAGGGGUCCCAACAGUCUUGCCAGGGUCUCCCUCACUCGUAGGGACAGCCUUGCUGGGCACCAGAGGCUGCACACGCAAAGGUCCCUGGCCCUCCCCACCAACCUCAGCGCAGGCCACCCCAAGUCAACUGGACCAUGCUGUCCCUCCCUCCAUGUCUGUGUGUCUGUGCCUCUUCAGUAUGCAGAACGUGGUGCCCAUCGGCGAGGGGGACUCUGUGGACGUGCCCCAGGACUCAGAGAGCCAGCUGCAGGAGCAGGAGAAGCGGAUUGAAAUCUCCUGUGCCCUGGCGACCGAGGCCUCCCGCAGGGGCCGCAUGCUGUCUGGUGAGAGGGGCUGGGCCUCGCUCCGCCAGGGACACCAGCUGACCAGGGGAGGAAUUGCAGGCCUGCCAGGGGGGCAGGCUCCGGAGAGAUGCCAGGCCAAGGAGACUGUUCUCAGGGUCAGGAGCAUUCACUAAGCACUGGGUUUGUACUAGGUUCAGUAUGAAGGGGCCAGAGCGGCCAGCUUCCUCAUGAUGCUCACAGCCAUUUUAUAGAGGCCUGGUCAGAGGCUACUGGGGAUGCAAGGCCAUCUGCCCCUGGAAAGUGACAGGGAAGAGAGGGCAAGGGUGCUUCCUUUGGAAACAUAGCACGCUUACCACGGGGGAGAGGGCUAGGUGUUUAGGCUUCCUUCUGCUUUUCUUCCUUGCUACAUUGCAAACAGAAGAACGGAAAGAUGAUUAAAAAAAAAAAAAAAAAAGACAAGGCAGGCAAGGACUUGAGAGCCAUUCCAUCUCCAUUGUGGCUGCCGAUCCAACUUAACUUUCCUAAGAAGAAACCUGCUAGGAAGAGGAAGUGACUUCACACUGACACAAAAGUCCCAAUUAGAUAAGUGGUGAAGUCGCUGGAUUGCCUGCCACAGGCUAGGGUAGCAUCCUGGAGGAGGGGAAUGUGACUGGGCUUUCAAUGAAGGGGAGUCCAGAUGAAUGGGAGGGGAAGGGAAGGCCGUGGUGAGCUCACCCACACAUAGUAGGACCAUUUUAUUUUGUUUCGUUUUUGAGACAGGGUCUGGCUACGUAACCCAGCCUGGCCCGGAACCCUAGAUCUUCCUCGUUAGGCUUCUGAGGGCUAAGAUUAUCGGUGCACACCACCAUGCCCGCAGAGUGUGAACUUUGGUGGUCACAGUUAGGAGGAAUGAUGGGGAGUCGGCCGAGGCUUGAAGUAGAAGUGAGAGAGACAAGGUUACAGGCCACAGUUACGGUAGUCGUGACGAGGCAGGAGCAAAGCAGAUAAAGGAUGGGAUUAAGAUGGCGCUCAAACUUCCAUUUCCGCACGGGUAAAAUUCAGAGCACCUACCAUCAGUAGGGUUGGGAAGCAGCAGACUGCAGCCCCUCACAAGUGCCCAGUGUUUAGCGCUGGAACAAUGGCGGUGCUGCUGUGCUGGGCGCUUGAACCGGUAAGAGCGGAAGUGGAAAGGAGAUCCCCUCGGUACUGUUUCUAACUUGAUAUAUGUACGUUACAACCCGAGGGCUGUCCGUCACGACAAAGAAGAUAUCAGUUGGCCCUCGAGGGAGAACCUGCUGUCGGUUAGGGAAUAAUGAGCUUGAGGAUGGAGGGCCGGGGAGGCGCUGGAGGGUGCAGGUGCUUGGUGCCAGGCUCUACACAGAUGGGU
rnacentral:lncRNA from 1 species